CUUCGUAGUGACCUGCGGAGGAUCAUUACCGAGUGAGGGCCCUCUGGGUCCAACCUCCCACCCGUGUCUAUCGUACCUUGUUGCUUCGGCGGGCCCGCCGUUUCGACGGCCGCCGGGGAGGCCCUGCGCCCCCGGGCCCGCGCCCGCCGAAGACCCCAACAUGAACGCUGUUCUGAAAGUAUGCAGUCUGAGUUGAUUAUCGUAAUCAGUUAAAACUUUCAACAACGGAUCUCUUGGUUCCGGCAUCGAUGAAGAACGCAGCGAAAUGCGAUAAGUAAUGUGAAUUGCAGAAUUCAGUGAAUCAUCGAGUCUUUGAACGCACAUUGCGCCCCCUGGUAUUCCGGGGGGCAUGCCUGUCCGAGCGUCAUUGCUGCCCUCAAGCACGGCUUGUGUGUUGGGCCCCCGUCCCCCUCUCCCGGGGGACGGGCCCGAAAGGCAGCGGCGGCACCGCGUCCGGUCCUCGAGCGUAUGGGGCUUUGUCACCUGCUCUGUAGGCCCGGCCGGCGCCAGCCGACACCCAACUUUAUUUUUCUAAGGUUGACCUCGGAUCAGGUAGGGAUACCCGCUGAACUUAAGCAUAUCAA
rnacentral:rRNA from 1 species